GCGGGCCUGGUGCAGCGGUAGAGCCUACUGUCUGUAACCGGAAGAUCCCAGGUUCGAACCCCAGACUCUGCA
rnacentral:tRNA from 7 species